UCAAAAAAAAAAAUCAUUGAGUUAUAUAUUUAUAUUAAAUAUAUAUAUAAUUAAAAAUAUAUAAAAUUUCCAAAACUUGGACAAUGCUUAAACAGUCCGUCUCCACAAUUACUGAGUUCAAACCAGCAGUUUUGAUCCAACUUAGGGUCUCCAAGACGCCCAUAGCCUCACAAUACAAGGCUCAAAAGCUGUAAAUAAAGGGACUGCCACCGCUUGCAUAAAAUUACCAACACUAUCACGGCAAACAAAAGCAUAACCAGCUUGUCCAUUUCUCAAAUCAACAUUGCAUUUAAAGAGCCCCCAUUUCCAGGAGGUCUCCACGGUGUUUCAGCAAUUAAAGAAGAAGAUGGGGCACUUACAUGCUUACUCUGUGCCUCUCUCCAUUCACUCAGCUUCUGCAAUGCCAACCGAACAACCUCAACCUCAGUUCUUGCUUUUCCUUUCUAAACUGUUCAGUUUCGAUUCAGUCAUAACUCGUAAAGAACCGAACCAAUUUUAGCCAUCUCCAUCAUAAGUUGCUGCUGUAAUAAAUGAGAAACCCAUUCCCAUAACGAAAUCUGAGUUUGUACCUGCAGAUUAUUAAGCACCAACCAGACUCCUCUAGUAAAACCAGACAGCAACAACACAUGUUCGAUUGACUCUGGUUCUUGCUCACAAACUGGACAAAACACUUGAACUGCCACCUGUUUCUGAACUAAAAUUGAACAAGUUGGAAGUACAUUAUGCAGCACCCGCCAUAAGAAAUUCUUAAUUUUUGGUAGGACCGAAAUUCGCCAAAUUGCAUUCCAAACCUGCUGAAUAUUUUGGGCAGCUCCACUUACUGGUUUUGUUAACAAUCUAUAGCCACUCUUGACUGAAUAGCCACCAUUCUUUGUAAACUUCCAAAACCACCCAUCUUCUUGGAAAGAUCAUGCCACAUUUGGGAUUUGCAGAACAGCUUUUUUGUCUCUAGGAUUAAAAAUAUCAUUAAUAAGCUCCACAUUCCAUUCCCCUUCAGGGAGAAAAGAAUCAGCAACACAAAUAUUCUCAACACCCGUGUUAUUUUCAGACUGAACAAACGGGGAAUCCUCAUUCAAAAGCCAUGGAUCCUUCCACACAUCAGUUUGUGAGCCUGAAAAAUAUCUUCCUCCUACAACCACGUCGCAAAACAUCCAUUGUCUGCAUAACACUACUCUAGAAGAAACUCAGAUUUGCUGCUUCAAAAAACCGACAUUGAGGAAAAUAUUUCGCCUUUAAAAGGUGUGAAAUCAAAGUAUGGGGUUGAAUUAAAAUCUGCCAUCCUUGCUUAGCAACCAAGGUCAUAUUAAACUCCCUAAACUUCCUAAAAUCCAAUCCCCCAUCUUCCUUCGGCAAGUAUAAACGGUUCCAACGCAUCCACCUUAUACCACUUGAACCGCCGGUCCAUCAAAAUUAAUUUAACUUUGUUUCAGUGGACCUACAGACUCCCACAUGAAGCAAAAAUACACUCAUAACGUACGUAGGAAUAGACUGUGCAACUGUCCGAAUUAACAACUCUUUACCAGCUCUUCCCCUGCAAUAAGAUCUUAUACUCAACCGAAUUCACAGUAUAUAAUAAUAUGUGAAUCAAUUCUGCAUUAAAACCCAAUGUAAAUAACAUAUCAAACAGAAAUUUCCACUCCACUCUGUUAUAAGCCUUGCUCAUAUCUAUUUUUAAUGCAACUACACCCUCCUUCCCUUGUCUUUUUCGAUUUAACACAUGCAGAACCUCAUGGGCUACUAUAACAUAAUCUCUAAUUAAGAGACUAGGAACAAAAGCACUGUGUCUGUGAUACAACAUCCCCUAAAAUCAACUUCAACCGAUUCCCAAUGGCCUUACAGCAAACCUUAUCGAUUGCAUUACAUAAGGAUAUAGGUCUUAAAUCUGUAACUCUCUCCAGCACAUGUUUCUUAGGAAUUAGCAUAAUUAAAGUCUCAUUCAAUCAAGGCAAGUGCUCACCAUCAUUUAAACAAGAUAAACAGGCUUUAUUUACUGACUCACCUACAACAUCCCAGUAAUGUUGGUAAAAAUCAGGAUUAAAGUCCAUCCGGGCCCCGUGAUUUAUCAGGGUGCAUACUGAAAAUAGCAGCUUUGAUCUCCUCUCAAGUAUAGGGCAACAUCAAUAAUUCAUUAUGCAUCUCAGUAACUUUUCUUUCCACACAAUUUAACACUGGCGCGCUAUUACUACCAUUUGAUGUAAACAAAUCAGAAAAAUAACCCACAAUUAAACCAUCAAGCCCUGAAUUCCUAUCAACCCACGAACCUUCUGAAUUCUUCAAAACAGUAAAUACAUUCUUCUUUCGUCUGUUAGAAGGUACAUCUUGAAAAUAUUUUGUAUUCAGAUCACCCGCAGAAAGCCACAGCUACUUUGCUCUCUGCCUCCAGAAAACUUCUUGUUGCUUUAGAAGGUCAUUAUAAGCUGCUCUAGCAAUCACAAACAAUUGCUUCGAAAAAACAUCUGUAGCACCACGAUUAUCACGCAUCUGCCGCUUACAAAUACCAAGGUGUCGCCGAACAACAGCUUUCUCCUCAACGCUCCAUGUUUUUAGACCACCCCUAACAUUUUUAAUCCGUUCAGCAACAAGGAUAGUUUCAUUAGGCUGCCAUUUUUCCACAAUCAAUUGUUUAACAUCAUCAUCCCUUAUCCAACUAUUCUCAAACCGAAAAUGGCAUAGCUUGUACACUACCACAGAAACGCCCAACUUAAAAAAUAAAGGAUUAUGAUAAGAAGUUGCAGUUUCUAAAGUAGUAACGACUGCGUUUGGAAAAAAUGUCUUCCAAGUUGCCAAAGAUAAAGCUCUAUCAAGUCGUUGUCGAAUUAAAUCUCCAGACUCUCUUCCAGUUUCUCACAUAAACAAAUCACCAUCAAAAGCAACAUCAGACAAACCCGCCUCCCACACUGCCUCCCAAAAACCUUCUAUCAACCAUCUAGCUCUUGGCACACCACCCACCUUCUCCCUAUUAGACAGCAAAUCAUUAAAGUCUCCCAUCACACACUAGGGUAGUGUGGAUUUGGACUUUAACGAUUUCAGAAAAACCCACGACUCCCCUUCUUCUAGUACUUUCAGGAAAGCCGUAAAACCCUGUGAACCGCCAAGCCCGUAUAACAUAUUCUCUAACAGCUACAUUAAUAUGAUUCUUAGAAUAGCUAAUUAAACUAACAGAACUCUUCUCCUUCCAAAACAGCAACAAACCACCGCACCUCCCCACUGGGUCUACCGCAAAACAUCCUUCAAACCCCAGUAGCGAUUUUAUUCGUCGAACUUUAUUUUUUUGUAUUAAAGUUUCCAUUAAAAAUAACAUUUUGGGCCGCUUAUCAGUUACAAUAUCAUUUAGCUCUCAAACUGAAGCUUGGUUCCCAAGCCCCCGACAAUUCCAGCUUAAACACGUUAUAUGGCUAGGCGGGCCUGAUGUCCAGGACCCGCAGUUUUUUAGCCCCUCUCCAUAUUCCUCAACAGAUUCAAUAGACUCCGAAUCAUUAGCCACAUUCUCCUCAGUACGACGUCGCUUUAAUUCCGUAAUAAUAACACCAACCGCUCCAUCCUUCACUAACACGUUACCUACCUUAACAAACUCAUCCCUUAUCCCUCCAUCGUUUGAAUUUCGAAUCUGGAUUCCCUUUUGCACAGUUUCAGGAACCAAAUCAUCCUCCAUCGGUGCAUGCUAUGAUGAUUUCUCCUCCGACCAGCCACCACCUUCCUCCCUCAACCACCGUGAUCCCACAUUGGUAAUCUUUCUCGUAGGAGCUCUCAGCCAUUCACCAAAGAGAUACUUGUCUUUAGGAAUAUGAAUUUUGCAAUUAAAACACGGUCAGAGUGUCCAAUCACACCACAGAAAAAUCAAAAGGUCGGUAACCUUUCAUAUUUAAAAUUCACCCACACCCAUUCUGACCUGUUUUCCGUAAUUUCAUCUUCCUCUUCAAUGGCUUCCUAACGUCUAUUUCCACCCGCACCCUAUAGUAGGUUUUCCACCCCCCUUUAAAAUUUCUAGCAUCAGACUCUAAAAACUCUCCAGCAUAACCUCCCACAUCCUUCAACACAUGCUCUGAUCGCAACCCAGAAACUAAACCAUACACUUGAACCCAGAAUUUAGCUUUAAAGAAAACCACAGCAUGUGGAUUCUCAUUUUGCUUAAGUGAUUUCAACAACAAAAAAUUUCGCUGAAAACUCCAAGGACCUUCUGCUAAUACACGUUCUACAUCCAGUGCAUGAAAGAAAUUGAAAACAUACCUAUUUCCCUCAAGAUCUUUCCCUGUCAUAACCUUCACAGGUUGCCAAACAGAAGCCAUGGUCUGUUGUAGAAGUUUCCCUACAACACAAAAUCAAUAAUCAUCAAACUCUUCCACCACAUCAGCCGAUCCAACCCCCUAUUCCUUACCCCCUUCAUACUCCUCCAACCCCAAUUUUGCAUAAUAAUCUUCUAAAAGAAUCAAACUCCAUUAGGUUUCCGGAUAUAAGGGAAAAAGAAAAAGAGAAGAGAUACACUAUAUA
rnacentral:lncRNA from 1 species